UCGCGAUCGCGAUCUGAGCCCGCAUGCGCCUCCGCCUCGGCCUCCGAGUCGCCCUGCGGGACGCCCCGCCUUGGCCUUUCCUGGCCGGCUGUGCCGCUGUCGUCCAGAGAGCUUGCGAGCCUCCAGAACUGCGUGCGCGUCCAGAUGUUCGUCUUCCUUUGAUAAAUCUGUGUUAAAGGAAAGGACGGUUCAGUGCCCUGCAAGGCUGCGAGCUAAAAUCACAGCGGAGGCCAAAAGAGAAACGUGCGCCACACACAGAGGAGCGUGUGCUGCUAGCAGGCUGCGUACGUGGGCUGCGUGUUCCUCCAGUACCCCAAGUACGUGGGAGCCUGGAAACCAAAAGAAAACGCUAUUCAUAGUCAAAGAUGUGCAGUUUGCCAACAAGUUGCUUAUACGUUCUCAGCUUCACUAGCAGGAUAGAGAGCCGGGAAGACAGCGAGGGUUUCCCCCGCUCCUUGGCGGAUAAUUCCCAGAGUUGAUGAGAAUAUGGGGAUGUGGCAGGUUUGGGCCCCUGCCCAGCCCCCACUGGGGACGCGUUUUAAUUGCAGGAGCUUUUUGGGUGGCAGUGUGGUAUAGGGUGCAUCGAAAUUUCAAGUGGACAUACUUGGGCUCAUGCCUCACCUCUGGGAACAAGCCUGCGGAAAGACAGAGGUGGGUGGAAGGAUAUGUACUGCAGCCUGGCUUAGGAACACUUGGUGGAACACUGAGACCUAAGUGUCUGUCAAAGGAGUAAUGGUUCUGUAAUCCCAGCACCGGGGAGGCUGAGGCAGGAGGAUCACCGUGAGUUCAAGGCCAGCCUGGACCACAUAGUGAGACCCUGUCUCAAAAAACAAACAAACCAACAGUAGUAGUUAAAUAAAGUGUGGCCUUUGCGGUCCGUGGGAGUUCUGGGCAUUGGUAUAGAGUGGGGUGGGUAGUGUGAACUGAAGGGGAGGGUGUUCAUAAGUACCCCAGGGCCGGAUAUUUUCUGGGUUUUUUUUUUGAGGGGGGUGGCUGAGUGUUGAGCUCAGGGCCUCCCCUGUGCUGGGCCAGUGCCUGCCCAGCGCAGAAUGAUUCACCCUUGUUUUCUGCCGACUCCCAGUGCCAGAGCAGUGCCUGACACAGUGCAUGUGCAGAAAGAAGAUUUCAAAUGAGUAAGCUUGUAAGACAAUGUCAAUUACCCGGACGGAGUGAAAGUGGACACUUAUACAGGCUGUGUGACCACUGGGAAACGCAGGCGGCCGCCAGGGUGCAUGAGUCUGCGGCAGGCAGAGUGGCCUUCCACUCGGGGAAGUCUACCAAAGGGCUGUUAUGUCAGCUCUCCUAGGCUCCCUGGUCCAGAUGUGGCCUUCCAGGGCACCUCUCCAGCCUCAUUUCCCUAUCAGUCAUCAUCUACUCCUGGUCCAGAGGACAGACCCCCAGGGCUUUGCAUCGAGCUACAUCCCCAGCCUUUUAAAAUUGUUAAUUUUGAUUCGUGGUGUCUCUGAAUCAGUAAGUUGCCCAGACUGGGCUCAAACUUGGGACCCUUUCGGCUCUGCCGCCACACUGCUGGGAUUGCAGGUGUGUGCCACCACGGCCACCUUGGUGCUCCUUUACUGUGAUUCUAUCAACUGCAUAUGAUUUUGUUGUUGUUGCUUUGUUUUAGAGACUGGGUCUUGCUGUGUAGCUCAGGCUGGCCUUGAACUCAAGGAGAUCCUCCUGCCUGAGCUUCCCGAGUGUUGGGAUUACAGGCAUGGCACACCAUGCCCAGCUUUAAGUGUGAUUUUAUGCACAUGUAUACUAAUUCACAAUUUUAAAAAAUCAACUAAGAAGGCAGGAGACAUUUUUCAGAGUUUGAGAAUAACCAAAUGCGGGGCCUCACAUGUGCUAGGUGAGCUCUGGCCCGCUGAGCUGUUUUCCCUGCCCCCUGGAGAUGUUUAAGACUGCUAUGAUUACCUUUGAAUUUUCUCUUGGAAUCUUCUUGCUUUGGUAGGUUACUGACACAGUGUGGAAUUUCAAGGUUUAUUUCAGUUGAUUUCUCUUUAGGAUGAAUGUUUCUUGUUAUCUUUUUACCCUACAAUUUAGAAAAGCAGCACAAAUUGUAGCUUGUAUUUUAGUCUAAUGAACACAAACACUGUGUGUCAAAUAGGUGAUGGUCUAUAGCUUUUUUUUUUUUUUUUUUUUGAGAUAGGUUCUUACUAUGCAGCUCGAACUGGCCCUGAGCUCACUUUGUAGUCCAGGCUGGCCUCAAACUUGCAAUGAUUCUCUUGUCUCAGCCUCCCAAAUGCUGGGAUUACAGGCAUGAGCCACCCUGCUUGGCUUUAAAAUAUUAUUUAUUUAUUUAUUUAUUUAUUUUUGGUACUGGGGAUCAAACUCACAACCUCAAGCUUUCCAGGCAGGUGCUUAUGCCACUGAGCUAAAUCCCUGCUGGGUUUUAGCUUGGGUUUCCAGGCAGGUGCUUAUGCCACUGAGCUAAAUCCCUGCCUUAGCUGGGUUACUAUAAAGACCUCACGUUUCUGUACCUUAGUUGUCAAGGAUGGCACAUCUUCUGACUUCUGGGUUUCCUGGUGUCUCACGUUUAUAAGUAACAAGCUUUUCCUGUCUGCUUGUACUGAUUUUGUUGAAGAAACUGCCAAGUAAGUAGAUUGCAUGUGAGAAUCAUAUUUUACAUUUGGAAGCAAUAUGGAUUUUAAACAAAAUAUUGCUGAAGUAUGCAAAGUAAUAAAAUAUACUAUUUUCUUAAUAUUCAAUAUACAUAUAACAUUUGUUGGUUUCCUUGCAUUUCUUCUUCCUGCUAUCUUCCUUGCUGCAUCUUACUUUGGGUCACAACAGCUACGGGCACCCCUAGCGGAGUAGACUGGGGAGCUGGGAUACAGUGGAACUGCUGUGGGAGGGCAAGGAUGUUGCCCCCUGCAGGCGGUCUGUGGAGCUGCAGAUGAGCCGUGGGGGCAUCACGAGGGCUGCUUACAGUGUGCAAGCCAGGGGUGGGGAGUCCAGCCGGUCUGGGCAUGAGGACCUCUCUGGGGUAAUGUGGCUUCAAAGCGCUGGCAGUCACGUAGGUAUAAGCAAUGUCAAAACCCCACUGAAUUGAAAAGCUACAGUGGAUUUUGUUUUGUUUUUGAGGCAAGGUCUCACUGUGUAGUUCACGAUGGUCUGGGACUCACUCUGUAGCCUGGGCUGGCCUUGAACUCUCAACAGUCCUCCUGCCUCAGCCUCCCAAAUGCUGGAGUGACAGGCAUGUAUCACCAUGCCUGGCUCAUGGGCAUCUUGUUAGGGUAAAGUAUAUCUAGAAAAAGUCUUUUCAAAAGCUGUGCCCUGAUAGCAGAUACAAUUUUUUUUGUCUUUUUUGUUUUUUAUCAGUACCAGGGAUCGAACUCACGACUGCCUGCUUGCAAGGCAGGCGCUUAUGCCGCUGAGCUAAAUCCCCAGCCCCUAGCAGAUAUAAUUUUUGAUAGAUAUUUUGCUUCCAGCUGAAAAGUCAUCCUGGCUUUCUACCUGUUGUAAGGACUUUAAAGACAGAACCAAAUGGGAAAACAGGAAAGCAUUUUCAUUCCUUUGCAGGUCUUUCAGCAAUUUCACCAUUGCAUCAUCUUUCUAAGAUCACAUAAUGCCUUUCAGUGCCUAAUAAAAUGUUUUUUAAAAAGCCCAUCAUUGGGGCUGGGGAUUUAGCUCAGUGGCAUAAGCACCUGCCUUGCAAGCAGGCAGUUGUGAGUUCGAUUCCUGGUACCGAUAAAAAGGAAAAAGACCAAAAAAAAAAAAAAAAAAAGCUCAUCAUUGACUGGGUAUUGUGGCACCCAGGAGGCUGAGGCAGGAGGAUUGCCUCAAGUUUGGGGCCAUCCUGAGCAACAUAGUCCAAGACCAUCCUGAGCUACAUAGUGAAAACCUGUCUCAAAAACCCAAAAUAAAAUAAAA